AACGAACGCUGGCGGCGUGCCUAACACAUGCAAGUCGAGCGCGAAAGGAGCAAUCCGAGUAGAGCGGCGCACGGGUGCGUAACACGUGGAUAAUCUGCCUCAGGGUUGAGGAUAACCUUCCGAAAGGUUGGCUAAAACUCGGUAAGCUUACGGUGACUUCGGUCGCUGUGAGAAAACUAGACCUCUAUUUAUAAGUUUAGGCCCAGAGAUGAGUCCGCGGCCCAUCAGCUAGUUGGCGGGGUAACGGCCCACCAAGGCUACGACGGGUAGCUGGUCUGAGAGGACGAUCAGCCACACUGGAACUGAGACACGGUCCAGACUCCUACGGGAGGCAGCAGUGGGGAAUUUUCCACAAUGGGCGAAAGCCUGGUGGAGCAACGCCGCGUGUGUGGUGAAGGUCUUCGGAUCGUAAAGCACUUUCGACUGGGACGAAAAACCUUUGGCUAACAUCCAGGGGCCUGACGGUACCAGGAGAAGAAGCACCGGCUAACUCUGUGCCAGCCGCCGCCGUAACAC
rnacentral:rRNA from 1 species